rnacentral:rRNA from 1 species
CAGCCGCCACGGUAAUACGGAGGGUGCAAGCGUUAUCCGGAUUUAUUGGGUUUAAAGGGUCCGUAGGCGGACUUAUAAGUCAGUGGUGAAAGCCUGUCGCUUAACGAUAGAACUGCCAUUGAUACUGUAAGUCUUGAGUAUAUUUGAGGUAGCUGGAAUAAGUAGUGUAGCGGUGAAAUGCAUAGAUAUUACUUAGAACACCAAUUGCGAAGGCAGGUUACCAAGAUAUAACUGACGCUGAGGGACGAAAGCGUGGGUAGCGAACAGGAUUAGAUACCCCGGUAGUCCCUGUCUCUUAUAC